GCGUAUGCAACCUGCCCUUCACAGGGGGAUAACCGGGAGAAAUUCCGACUAAUACCGCAUACGUCCUCCGGGGGCAUCCCCGGGGGAUGAAAGAAUUAUCGGUGAAGGAUGGGCAUGCGUGAUAUUAGGUAGUUGGCGGGGCAACGGCCCACCAAGCCCACGAUAUCUAGGGGUUCUGAGAGGAAGGUCCCCCACAUUGGUACUGAGACACGGACCAAACUCCUACGGGAGGCAGCAGUGAGGAAUAUUGGUCAAUGGACGAGAGUCUGAACCAGCCAAGUCGCGUGAAGGAAGACGGAUCUAUGGUUUGUAAACUUCUUUAGUGCGGGAACAAAGCGGCGUCGUGACGCCUGAUGAGUGUACCGCAAGAAUAAGCAUCGGCUAACUCCGUGCCAGCAGCCGCGGUAAUACGGAGGAUGCGAGCGUUAUCCGGAUUUAUUGGGUUUAAAGGGAGCGCAGGCUGCGAGGCAAGUCAGCGGUCAAAUGUCGGGGCUCAACCCCGGCCUGCCGUUGAAACUGUCCUGCUAGAGUUCGAGUGAGGUAUGCGGAAUGCGUUGUGUAGCGGUGAAAUGCAUAGAUAUGACGCAGAACUCCGAUUGCGAAGGCAGCAUACCAACUCGCGACUGACGCUGAGGCUCGAAAGCGUGGGUAUCGAACAGGAUUAGAUACCCUGGUAGUCCACGCAGUAAACGAUGAAUACUAACUGUUCGGAGGGCGACCUCUGAGUGGUAAAGCGAAAGCGUUAAGUAUUCCACCUGGGGAGUACGCCGGCAACGGUGAAACUCAAAGGAAUUGACGGGGGCCCGCACAAGCGGA
rnacentral:rRNA from 1 species